CCACUUCGUGAGGAGGAGGUGAUUUCUUACAUACUUGCAGGCCUUGGGCCAGAUUAUGAUCCUUUUGUCACCUCUAUUACUACAAGAUCCGAUUACAUUACCAUUGAUGAUAUGUAUGCACAUCUUCUAAGCUAUGAGC